CCUACGGGUGGCAGCAGUGGGGAAUAUUGCACAAUGGGGGAAACCCUGAUGCAGCGACGCCGCGUGAGUGAGGAAGUAUUUCGGUAUGUAAAGCUCUAUCAGUAGGGAAGAAAAUGACGGUACCUGACUAAGAAGCCCCGGCUAACUACGUGCCAGCAGCCGCGGUAAUAAGUAGGGGGCAAGCGUUAUCCGGAUUUACGGGGUGUAAAGGGAGCGUAGGCGGGUAAUCAAGUCAGAAGUGAAAACCCAGGGCUCAACCUUGGGACUGCUUUGGAAACUGAUUAGCUAGAGUGCGGGAGAGGUAAGCGGAAUUCCUGGUGUAGCGGUGAAAUGCGUAGAUAUUAGGAAGAACACCGGUGGCGAAGGCAGCAUACUGGACUGUAACUGACGUUGAGGCUCGAAAGCGUGGGGAGCGAACAGGAUUAGAUACCCUUGUAGUC
rnacentral:rRNA from 1 species